UACGAAGGGGGCUAGCGUUGUUCGGAAUUACUGGGCGUAAAGCGCACGUAGGCGGAUACUUAAGUCAGGGGUGAAAUCCCGGGGCUCAACCCCGGAACUGCCUUUGAUACUGGGUAUCUCGAGUCCGGAAGAGGUGAGUGGAAUUCCGAGUGUAGAGGUGAAAUUCGUAGAUAUUCGGAGGAACACCAGUGGCGAAGGCGGCUCACUGGUCCGGUACUGACGCUGAAGUGCGAAAGCGUGGGGAGCAAACAGG
rnacentral:rRNA from 1 species